UGAAUUUACCACCUCUUAGAUUUAUUUCCUCCAGUUGACACUCCUCAAUCACUUUACGAAAGCCAUCAAGAAGAUAUUGAGGGUGUGCAAUCGUGCCUUUUUUAUCAGAAGCAAACAGGAGAUCAUUAAAAUCUCCCCAGAUACACCAAGGUACAUUUGAUAUAUCCGCCAGUCUACGAAUUAACCUCCAUGACUCUCUACGUCUUGUACGUUCCGGAUAC
rnacentral:lncRNA from 1 species